UAACACUAUCGCGGUCGGCGCGAAAAUUUUUCAUUUCGGAUUUCUAAAGUGCGUAGAAAAUUCUCCGAUCGAGACAGUGGGUGGUUCCGUGGAAAAUUGAUUUUUACAUAGUUUUUAUACCAGCUUUUCACAUAGUUUAUUAAUACGUUUUCAAUUAUUAUUCUUGAGUAUUCUUCCAUAUCAGUAUAGUUCAAUUAAACCUAUUUAAAUCUAAAAGUAUCAAGAUGUCACAACUGAUGAAGAAAAGAUUUCCAUCGAUUACCAGCAUUGAUGUACAGUCUGACGGAAAUACGUCAUUCUUGCGCGCUGCCCGAAAUGGCCAAUUGGACAAAGUUCUAGAACAUCUGAAAUCAAAUAUCGACAUAAAUACUAGC